rnacentral:rRNA from 1 species
CCUACGGGAGGCUGCAGUGAGGAAUAUUGGUCAAUGGACGAGAGUCUGAACCAGCCAAGUCGCGUGAAGGAUGACUGCCCUAUGGUUUGUAAACUUCUUUUAUAUGGGAAUAAAACGUUCCACGUGUGGGAUUUUGUAUGUACCAUAUGAAUAAGGAUCGGCUAACUCCGUGCCAGCAGCCGCGGUAAUACGGAGGAUCCGAGCGUUAUCCGGAUUUAUUGGGUUUAAAGGGUGCGCAGGCGGAGGCACAAGUCAGCGGUAAAAGCGCGGGGCUCAACCCCGCUCCGCCGUUGAAACUGUGUCCCUUGAGUGCGCGAAGGGUAGGCGGAAUGCGUGGUGUAGCGGUGAAAUGCAUAGAUAUCACGCAGAACCCCGAUCGCGAAGGCAGCCUACCGGCGCGUAACUGACGCUCAUGCACGAAAGCGUGGGUAUCGAACAGGAUUAGAUACCCUAGUAGUC